rnacentral:tRNA from 1 species
GGGAGUCUGGCCGAGUGGUUAAGGCGCUGUGUUUAGGUGGUCUCAUGGACACUUCGACGAUCCGCAGUGGGAAACCGCGCAGGUUCGAAUCCUGCGGCUCUCA